GGUAGGUUCUCCCUCCCUCGGUCCCCAGGCUCCGGCUGGCGCGGCGGGCGACCUGCCCUCACCUCUUGUCCGGCGGCUGCGGGGCUGAGCCGGGGAGGCGGAGUGCUAGCCAGCCGGGCGCUGCAGGUCGGCGCGGGGCGGGGCGGGGCGGUGCAGCCGGCGAGGGAGCCCGGAACUCCGCGGGGCUGAGGGCCGGCGGCCGUCCCCGAGCGGCGGCGGCGGCAGCGGCGGGCGGGUGCCGGGGGGCCGGGUGCUUUCCAGCCCUGGGGCCGGUGCGGCUGGCCGAAGAGCAGCCUGGCAGCGGCGGCGGCGGCGGCGGCAGCGGCAGCCACCCCGGGGAAAGAGCCGGGGGAGGGAGGGGAGGCGGGGUGAAGAGGAGGCGGAGGAGAAGGAAAGGGAGGAGGGCGGGCGGAAUAAACUUCCCGAGGCGCCGCGGCACGGGCUGGGAGGACGGCCGCGGGCGGGGCGGGCCGGAUGGGGGCUGGCCCGGGGGGCAGUCGCGGGGGGACGGUCACUGAGAGUAGAAAAGUUCCCCCAGCGCCGAGGGGCAGGCUGCGGCGGCGGCGGCUGCAAAGAGCCGGAGCCGGAGCGGGAGGAGCGGGAGGAGGAGGAGAAGGAAGUGGCUGCGGAGCGCUCGGCCAAUGAGUGUCUGGAGCUGUGAUUAACCAGGCAGCAACACAUCAUUUCCUCCCGGCGCGGAUCCAGGGAGCCGGGAGGGAGAGGGAAGACGGCGGGGCGGGGCCGUCCCCGCGCCCCCUGCAGGCGCCCGGCCGGGGGCGAGCCCGCCGAGCCUGGCCGAGCCGCCCUUGGCGCGCCCCUGGCUGUCUGGCCGGCCCGGAGGAGGCUGCGAGCGCGCCGCCUGCGGGGCUCUUCGGAGGCGGGGAGGCGGCGGGGCAGGCCCAAGACGGGCUCCUGCGGCCGGGGUGGGAGGCGGAGAGGCCGCGCGGCGGGGUGAGUGCCCAGGUAGGCGCGGGCGGAGCCGUCUGGACAGCUCCCGGGGGGAGAGCGGGGCGGGCGGGCCGACUGCCUCCCAGCCCGGGACUGCGGGCGGCGCGCGGCUGGACUCCGACUUAGGCUGGAUGUACAGGGAAAAACCUUGGCAUUCUCACCCAGGCCAUUUCUGACCUGCCUUCAAAUCCCCUUCCACUUUGCUCAUUUUCUCGCAAGGUCUGGGGUUAUGCAAGAGCUUGCCAUUUUCGCAGACCGCCUCCUUAGGAAUAAAAAUAUGCAUUUGGGGCGGGGAGCGGGGGGAGGGCUUCGGGGGCGGGGGGCGCUGGUGUUCUGCGGUAAU
rnacentral:lncRNA from 1 species